ACACGACUACAUUAGAUACCCGCGUAGUCCAGGGUGUAAACGCUGCGGGGCUUUGGUGUUGGGGGUCCUUUGAGGGCGCCCAGUGCCGGAGAGAAGUUGUUAAGCCUGCUGCUUGGGGAGUACGUCCGCAAGGAUGAAACUUAAAGGAAUUGGCGGGGAGCACCGCAACGGGAGGAGCGUGCGGUUCAAUUGGAUUCAACGCCGGACAACUCACCAGGAGCGACGGUUACAUGAAGGCCAGGCUGAUGACCUUGCUUGACAAGCUG
rnacentral:rRNA from 1 species